rnacentral:misc_RNA from 1 species
GCUUAACACCUUGCCAAGAAGGAAACAAAUCUUAUGUUUUAGCAUAGUCAGGAAUUGGAGUAUGUACUCUGUACAAGAUUAGGGACUAUACCCACUGAAAUAUCUAAUAUAAACCUUUUCACUAUACCACUUUCAGCUAGUUCACUUCACAGGGGCCGCUUGUACAGAGACUGCUGCUGAGGAAUGCAGUCUGGGCUCAUAUGUGCUCCCAUGGAAGCAAUACAACUCAAUAAACACAACUCUACAAUUAACAAUUUAACAUCACGAGUGAAACCCACAUUUACAAGAAGACGGCUUGAAUGCCAUUGACAAGUAUAAUACAGUCAACGAGAAGAUCUACAACUAGAUCCUUGUUCUGACGGUGAAGUCAAUUCAAGAGAACCUGCCACCAAGUGCUCAACCAGUGUCCAGUUGGGUCAAGUAAGUUGUACCAUAGAAACCAAGAAAAUCUGAAGUACACCGAAAUAAGAAGGGAAUAAGAGUGAGCAAGUAUUCCUUUUUUUUUU